ACUUUCCAUAGAAUCUCCACAGCAGAUAAGAUUUCUGGUAUAAUCCUCAAGGAAGAUGAAAUCUUAUCAGCUCAUGCAUAACCUUUUUACUAGCGUUUCAUCCAAUAGAAACUCCGUAAAGAGGUUAUUCCAACUCAAUCAGCUGCAUUAGGUUUUAACGCUACAGCUGAUUUAUCUUUACCAAAGGCUUCAUCCUACCAGCCCAUAAAGCUGGAAAAGGAUGGUUCAAGAUGAAGCUGUGGGAUCCUAUGAGCUUAUACGACCUUACAGCUUCAGUGGCGACUUCCUCUGUAACGGUCGUAACGUAGCAAAAUUCCUUGGUGGGUAAGUUCCAUCCAGCAUGAACGGUAAAACGAUUCCCUUCUGUCGCUACGCUUGAUUUUGAGAAAUUGUAUAAUCCUUCAAUAUUUGGGUAAGAAGGUAUCGACGGUAAGCCCCUCAGCACGGUUUCCAGGGCUGGC
rnacentral:rRNA from 1 species